AACGCGGAACCACACCGAAACACGUUGUCUGCAAAGUUUGGUCUUUUUUCGCUAAUAAAGUCUUGUGUGUUUUUAUGGAAAAACCUUUGCAAGCCAUGGAAAGUAUUUCACUUUGGUGGAUGAAGUAGAAAAUUUAAAAUAUUUCUAAUGUUGAUGCUAUGGAAACAUGUGUCACAAGCACCUGAUGUGCAGAAACAUUUUACCCGUCGACUCUUUGGAAAUUCAUUAACAAUGUCCAUUUGUUAACAUUUGUAAGGAUAUUUUGUAUUGAAUUGUUUGGUGUCGUCAACCUUGCACGAGAGGUCAUUAAUGCGUUCUUGAGAAUAAUCCAAUAUCUGGCUGACCCCCCUUGACAGAAAUCAUUGCUAUGCUUCUGGAAAGAGCGUUUAAAUCGAAUGUGGUUAUGUUCAAUAGCAUUCGACGUGUUUACAAUUCAUCACAAGAGGACAUGUACAUCAUUGAAAUAAUACACCUUACUUGGGAAAUACGGGAAGUUGUAAACAUAACAUGACAAAAGUGAUAACAAAUGUUGAAAUGUCAAUGUGUCACAACGUUACUUGACAACAAGAAGAAACGGAAGUUGGCGUCACGAAAAUUAUAAAAUUCUAUUGGCGGAGAGUCGGCGAAAGACGAAAAGACGUCGUCGCCGUCGGAAA